rnacentral:rRNA from 1 species
GAGGGGCAUCUGAUUGCAAUUAAAGUUUCGGCGGUAUAUGAUUGGUGUGCGUUUGAUUAGCUAGUUGGUAGGGUAACGGCCUACCAAGGCGACGAUCAAUAGCUGGCGUGAGAGCGCGACCAGCCACACUGGAACUGAGACACGGUCCAGACUCCUACGGGAGGCAGCAGUAGGGAAUAUUGGACAAUGGAGGAAACUCUGAUCCAGCCAUGCCGCGUGAUAGAUGAAGGCCCUCUGGGUUGUAAAUAUCUUUUAUCUGGGAAGAAACACUCCUAUUCUUAGGAACUUGACGGUACCAGAGGAAUAAGCACCGGCUAACUCCGUG